UACGUAGGGUGCGAGCGUUAUUCGGAAUUACUGGGCGUAAAGCGUGCGCAGGCGGUUUUGUAAGUCAGAUGUGAAAUCCCCGGGCUCAACCUGGGAAUGGCAUUUGGGACUGCAAGGCUGGAGUACGGCAGAGGAGACUGGAAUUCCUGGUGUAGCAGUGAAAUGCGUAGAUAUCAGGAGGAAUACCGAUGGCGAAGGCAGGUCUCUGGGCUGAUACUGACGCUCAUGCACGAAAGCGUGGGGAGCAAACAGG
rnacentral:rRNA from 1 species